AAGCAUAUCUAGGUCAAUGGACAAUAGGUGCUGUUUAUUUGGCUUUUAAGCAGCCUUGCUCUGCAGCCCAGGAUGCCCUUGAAUUUGAGAUCUUCCUCCCGAGGCCUUCAGAAGAUACGGUUUUAAUCUAAAGCUGGAUUAUGUUGCAAAGCAAGCUCAGCCGGCAGUCUGCUCCUGGAGGAAAUUGGGAAGACUCCAUAUACCCAGAGGCUCCUGGCACCACAAGGAGUAACACGUAAGCAGCAGAGAGAUGGCCGAGAAACAGAAGGAUGUGGGCACAAUGAGGAGAGGUGGAACUGGAAACUGGACGGUAAUGAGGAACAGCCUGCUAUGAGUAGCCAGUGAUGCCAGCUAAGGCCAUGGUGAGGUCCCAGCCCUUGAUGUGUCUGAGCAUGUGUGAGCAUCUGGCCCUGCCACUGGUCAGCUGUGUGGUGGUAU